CACCUCAUCCUAGACAUGGAGUGUGAGAGGUAUGAAUUUUCAGCUUGUUAAUCACGGUCAAGUGGAAUACAACAUAAAUAUUCUUUGCAUGACGAGUCACAACUGAUCGCCACGUCCACUUAAUACAUUUUAUCCAUGUUUAGUUCCUUAGAUUGCUUACCCUGUAUUAUUCGAGUGGUAAAAUUGCAUCGCUAAUCGCUUCAAAGGACAAGUGAAUAUGUAGGUUGUAUCCCUCUUAGUUUGUAAACAAUCCGUUCACCGACUCGCUACUCCAUCUAAUAAGACACAUAGAUAAAGGUCAAGAAUUUGUCAUCUGUAGUUAUCCCUUCUUAAUUAUGAUAAACUUGCUUUCUUCUCUCAGCAUUUUAGAAAUAUCAUUUUAUUCAGUUGAUUUCUCAUCCUGUUACCCCAUGUACGUAUAGGUUCUGAAAGAUCGUUCACUGUCCCAUGUCUUCCGCCCGUCGAGAAAGAGGGAGAGCUAGGAGAGAGGGAGGAGCGCAACGGCGCUGCUGGAACUAAUCGCCCACAGAGAAAGAUGUGGCGGCGAGGCAGUCGCUGGCGGCGGUGCCUCCGGUGACCAGUGAGCGGGCAAGGCGGCGAGCUCCUGUUGAGGCGGCGGGGCUUGGUGCGUGCUGGUUCCUCGGGAUCGAGUCUUGGCUCUUCCGAAGCGGGCGGUUGCGAGCUUGGAUCUGGAUGAUCCCGAUGGAGAGCUGGGUGGCGGCGCUAGGUUCCAGCCGCCUCCAGAGUCCUACAUCCCCAAGCUCGACAAGAUUGCUAGCCACCUUUUGAGGUCCUCAGCACUCGGGGGGCUUCUCAUCCUGUUCAGGUUUUCUUCCAUGUUAUGGGGUUGUGCUCCGGCGGCGACGUACGACCAAGGAGGACGGGGGUAUGAUGCAGUGAGUCCAAUCUGUUCCGGAGGANNNNNNNNNNNNNNNNNNNNNNNNNNNNNNNNNNNNNNNNNNNNNNNNNNNNNNNNNNNNNNNNNNNNNNNNNNNNNNNNNNNNNNNNNNNNNNNNNNNNNNNNNNNNNNNNNNNNNNNNNNNNNNNNNNNNNNNNNNNNNNNNNNNGAUUUUCAAAAUCUGGUACGCGUAUGCCUGAGUCGCUUCUUGGCCCUAUUUUUUGCUUCUUUUUGUUGAUUGACCGUGAAGUCUAAAGUUCCAAAUGACACGUCUAUUGUCUACUUCUCUUGAUUCAGUCUACUUCUCUAGAUCCAGGAUCUGCAUGUAUAACGUGAUUCCCAUCUACUGCAUUUGCUUGGCUGCUCAACUAGAGNNNNNNNNNNNNNNNNNNNNNNNNNNNNNNNNNNNNNNNNNNNNNNNNNNNNNNNNNNNNNNNNNNNNNNNNNNNNNNNNNNNNNNNNNNNNNNNNNNNNCGGUUGCGAGCUUGGAUCUGGAUGAUCCCGAUGGAGAGCUGGGUGGCGACGCUAGGUUCCAGGCGCCUCCAGAGUCCUACAUCCCCGAGCUCGACAAGAUUGCUAGCCACCUUUUGAGGUCCUCAGCACUCGGCGGGCUUCUCAUCUUGUUCAGGUUUUCUUCCAUGUUAUGGGGUUGUGCUCCGGCGGCGACAUACGAUCAAGGAGGACGGGGGUAUGAUGCAGUGAGUCCAAUCUGUUCCGGAGGACAAGUGAUGUGUAUGGCGUGGUGCAAAUUUGCCGUUCUGGACAGAUUCCCAAUUUCCAAAAUCUGGUAUGCGUAUGCCUGAGUUGCUUCUUGGCCCUGUUUUUUGCUUCUUUUUGUUGAUUGACCGUGAAGUCUAAAGUUCCAAAUGACACGUCUACUGUCUACUUCUCUAGAUUCAGUCUACUUCUCUAAAUCCAGGAUCUGCAUAUAUAACGUGAUUCCCAUCUACUGCAUUUGCUUGGCUGCUCAACUAGAGAACCGCAAGUUCGUCUAUGUUUAGAAAGUACUUAAAUUUCAGUCGAGUAAUCAUCAAAUCAUUUGCUUAUCCUGUUGGUACUACCUGUUCUAACGUACUAAAUUUUUAGCUUGCUACUACCUCUUCUUCUAUUACCUGUUCACUUGUUAAUACAUGUUGUACUUAUGUGCUAUUUUUUUAGUGAAGACAGAGAAUAUGCGUGCUUGUAAGUCUCCAAUUGUGUUGUCUUAUCUUGGAUUGAUCUCCCUGUUCUGGUGGAUGCCAAGCCUCCAGCUGCAGGGUAAACUAGAUCGUUACAUGUAAUGAAGCCCUGCCAUGACUCCGACCAUGUCUCCGGCAAGGCGGCGUCUACAAUACCAGAGCACCACCCUACGUGACCUCUGGAGUGACGAAAGGCGCAAACCAAAGGCCUCCUGGAGGGCCCAUUGGAGAUUUGUUGGUACGCUACAUACAGGAAUGAAACUGGAUAUUUUUUCAUAAAAAUAGUUGCAGCCUCUUGGACAUGUAAUCGUACUACCUACUCACGAGGAAUCUCUUAUUUUAUGAUUAGUACCACAANNNNNNNNNNUUGCAUGUACUGAAGCCCUGCCAUGACUCCGACCAUGUCUCCGGCAAGGCGGAGACUACAAUACCAGAGCACCACCCUACGUGACCUCUGCAAUGACGAAAGGCGCAAACCAAAGGCCUCCUGGAGGGUGGAGGGCUCGCUGGAGAUUUGUUGGUACGCUAGAUACAGAAAUGAAACUGAAUAUUUUUGCGUAAAAAUAGUUGCAGCCUCUUGGACAUGUAAUUGUACUACCUACUCACGAGGAAUCUCUUAUUUUAUGAUUAGUACCACAAUAACCUUUUAGAAGAUCUGAUUACUAGAAAUAUGGAAUUUCCUAGAAGAUAUUUGGAAAGGAGAGUUCAUGAAAACAAAAGUCAGUCCUUUUAUUUUCUGAAAAGCUCUCUUCAUUAUUUUUCUCGUCUAUUCUUACUGCUUGAGAAUUGUUGCAGUCCGUACCAUGCAUCCACUGUUCCCUAAUCAGAGUGUUCCUAUGCUAAAAGUUGUUGUUUUGUCCUUGCAGUUUUUUUUCUAUGGGAUUUAUGCAGUCUAAAUAGUACUUUAUUAGUUUUCUGGAAGGAUGCAAAAGUCAUACUGGGCUCCCUGUGUAUAGUGAAUGCUAAAGGAUGCAAUAGUAUUUGUACAAUCGGGAAGUGUCAUUCUCUAUGUUUGCCAAUUGGACUCACCCUCUUAAGAGAUCUAACUCUCAAUCAGUACUACAUUGUCGAUUUAUAAUUAGAGGACCAGAGGGAAAAAUCCAAUGCAAGGCCCUACACAUACCUGCCCAUCUAGCGCAUGGAUGUGAUUUGAGCAAUUUUAGGCCAUUAAGCAUCAUCUUCGUGCAGUCCUCUGCUCUUGGUGAUCUGUCCGUGGCUUGUUGGGUGUGCUAGGUUUCUUUCCAGCUGCAGCCUGCCAGCGACUAUCUCUCAUGUUCUAGGGAGAACUGCUCCUCUUGUGAACGGUGCGACACCUUUUCAGCUAGGCGAGGAGGCAGGGGCCUUCUUUGACAUUGGAGCUGGGUGGAUGUGUCAUGUCGGGGCUUCUGAUGUUUAGACGACGACGUGCUCUUCCUCGUCGUUGGACGUGUUGAUCCAGAGCCGGCAUUCUCCUUCCCUGAUGUUCUGCUUGGGAUGAGGAACUCUCCAUCUCCGAGCUAUGCUUGUCCUUGUCGAUCCUUUUUAGCUUGGUGUGUCUGAGGCUUGUGAGCUGCUUGUCAACGCCUCUGUAUCUUGUCGUUUAUUUUCUCUUUGUGUUGGUUUCGAGUCUAUAAUCAUGGCCGGUUGAUAGCUUUGUUAAUUCAAAACCGAGCUCUUCUGGAGCCUUCGUUCCAAAAAAAAUGCAAGUGACAAGACAAAAAUGGAAAUUGCAAGCAAGCAAUGAAAUCACUAUCAUAAUCAGUCCCAAUAACAGCUGGUAGCUAGACUGUUAAAUCGCCAAAUGCAAUGCGUGUCUGCAAUAAUCUUCUAGGUUCUCAGAAUCUUCACUUCAGACAUAGGAGAACAUAGGAUAGAACCAUUCAGAUUCAUUGUGAAUUCAAGUAUAGGAAGGAAGUAACAGAGUACAAGGGGAAAACUAUAGUUUGUGAAAAGGUUUCUAAGAGGCAAUCAUGAGGUCCUGGGAGGCCACUCGAAGCAUGCUCGUCAAUUGGCUCGAGGUCAGAAGUUUGAAAGCUAAAAAUGUGUAACUCCUUACAUGAUCCACAUUGUCAAUUUUCACAAAUGCAACAGUAAGUGUUCCACACAUAAAGCAAAUUGCAAAGAAGUCCCGCGUCGAUACAAUCCCCACACUAUAAAGGAUAAUAUGGACAUUUGACGAUGUAUACCCCGUACAAAGACCUUCAAGCCGGCCCAUGAAGUCACAUCCGCAUGUUUUAUCUAGAAAAACUACUACGAAAUGGGAGAUCAUGAGAACUCAAAUUCAUGCCUCGCACUAUUGAUGCACGCCGCUUGCCACUCAACCCAACAACAACUUGUGAUCUCAUAUAACGCAAAUCAUAUAAGAAAAAUGAUGAAUAUAUUUUAGAAAAAACAAAGAAUUCUUGUGAACAUAUUUUGGAAAAAGCAAGUAAUUUUCACUUUUUCUAAAGAAAAUCGAAAUUCAAAAACAAUUUUAGAAAAAAUGCGAAGAACUUGUAGGAUUCCGACCAUUUUUAUGUAAGUUACUUUUUUUAAUCCUGCAGAGUUUAAAAAUGCAUAGAACAUUUCGUGCUUCCAAAUAUUUCUUAAAAACACGCAAUAAAAAACAAAAUUUUCUUUCAAAAACAUGAAUAUUUUUUGAAAACAUAAGAAUAAAUUUAGAAACUCCGACUAAAAUUUGAAAAAACAAACUUCAUGGAUAUGUGAAGAAUUUUUGAAAGAGAGAACAUAUUUUGAAAUCCUUAUUUUUUUAUUUUUGAAUUGUUUUUUAUCAUAAGAACAUAUUUUUUAAAGGUAUGAUUUUUUUAAAGCGCAAACAUAUUUAUAUAACCGAAACUUUUCUGAGAUUUUGAAACAAAUUAAAUCAUGAUCAUGUUUUGAAAUUUGAAGAAGAAGUUUUUUUAAAUUUUCCAAACAUUAUUCAAAAACAUGAUUUAGAAAAAUAAAAACAGUUUUAAAAUUCCCAACACACUCCCGACAUGAGCGUCAGCGUCGCAUAUUGGGGCCUAGGCCUAAGCACCUCUUUCUUUUUCUAUUUUGUUGUUAUUCUUUUUUUCAUUAAUUCAUUUUCACCUCUUUAAACUUUCUUAUUAUUAUUUUAACCAGUUCAAAACAUUAAAUUAUUGUUUGGAAUAUCAAAAUAACAAUUUGAAGGAAAAUUUUAAAUUAUGAUUUAAAAUUAUUUUCUCUGUCAAACAUAUAUAUAUAUAUAUAUAUAUAUAUAUAUAUAUUAUGAAGUGUAUUUACUAUUUUCAGUUUUAUCACUUUGUAUUUAUUAGUUAUGUUAAAAAUAAAAAAUAACACUUGUAAUAUCUAUUUACAUUAUGAUUUUAAAUACCUUUUUUUCCUCAAACCUGGCAUGGAUUAGACCUGGGCAUACUUUGGGCUGGGGCUGAUACGGGUCGACCAGCAAAAUCCCAAGCCCAGGCCCGACCCACCCAGUUUGAAGUAUGGAAAAGUGCGUAUUUGGAUUUUGAAAUUAAUAUAUAACUUAUUUCGGUGUUAAAUAAUACAACAUUAUACCUAUUUCAUCAUUUAAAAUCCAAAAAAUACAUGUUUGUUGGGCUUUUUCCAUGCUUCGGGAUGGGCUACUGGCUGAAAAGCGAGGCCUGAGGCCGGGACGACCGUCGGGCUUGCCAAGCUAGGCCACACAUGCCCAGGUUUAGCAUGGAUGCCUACCAUGGUCAUGUCCCCACAUCGGCAAAAGUGGUGGCCAUUUCAAGAAUGUCCCACAAAAACACUAUCUUCAAUGUAGGAUGUGUCGGAUGUCUUCGUUUGUGAGCACGUUGUUUCUCGACAUCCGUCAAAUGACCCCAUUUUCUUAAUUGGUUUGUGUGAUCAAUUCAAGGCACCAUGUCAAGUUGUGUUGGUUUUCGUCAAANNNNNNNNNNNNNNNNNNNNNNNNNNNNNNNNNNNNNNNNNNNNNNNNNNNNNNNNNNNNNNNNNNNNNNNNNNNNNNNNNNNNNNNNNNNNNNNNNNNNGCGCCAUUAGUAACCAAAAAAAAUAUUAUGGUAGUGGCGCAUCAGCUGGUGGUGCGCCAUUAGUAGUUUUGUAAAAAAAAUUAUAGUAGUGGCGCACUAGGUGAGUGGUGCGCCAUUACUAGUUAAUCUCCGAAAGACUGGCGCAGUGGUGCGUGGGUUUUGCCUGCUAGCAGGAGGUGGCGGGUUCGAUCCCCCCUCAGCACCCUUUUUGGGGUUAUUUUCCUUCGGCACACUAGCCAUCAGAGAGUAUUCCUUGCCCUCUUGCACUUUGCUGUCGAGCAGAUGCUUCUUAGCCUAGUGGUUUGAUGCAGGAUUGAGUACCAGGGGGGACAGGGUUUGUAUCCUCUGCCCCCCUCCUUUUAUUUUUUUUCCUUUUAUUUUUUUCUAUGCAUUGUUUUCUUGUGCUGGUUGCACCUUGGUUUGAGAAGUUGAUGCUGUGGUGUGCAUCACACCAUGAGGGUGAUUUAUCUUCCCUCACAACAACAUCUACUACCUAGUAUAUUUUUUUGAUGUUUGCAAGUAGAUGCCUAUGAAUAGGAGUUGAAUCUUGUGAAUAGGUGUUCUAGUGGUAAGUAUGCCGACGGCGGCGGCAGUGGAGCGGGGAGGGUGCGGGGGGUGCUCGGCGGCGAGGGGGAUCUUGCGAGGGGUGAUAGCGAUCGAGAUGGAGGGGAUCGAGAUCGAGUGUCCUCAUGAAUAUUCAAUUUUUUUCGUAUUGAAUAUGAAAAAAUAUCAUCAAAUUUGAAAAUGUCGAAAUACAAUCGAGAAAUGAAGGCUACAAUUUAAAUACAAUCGAUCUUAGCUAGCUAUUUGUUCACAAUCUUCUUGCCCUUAUUUUUCGUAAAUGGAGUUCUUCUCUUGAACAGACGUCCUUUAGGUAGGGUGGUCCUGCUUCUUCUUGUGGUGUAUGCUGGUACUUCAUCAUCGUCGUCAUGUUCCAUCUUCGGGUUGCCGUACUUGUCGAAGUCUUGCUCAUUGGCGACUCCAUCCAUUCUGAUGAUCUUCCUUUUGCCUCUCCUCACGACAACACGACUGGGCUUUGGCGGGUCGGUAAUGAAGAAGCAUUGGUCCACUUGGGAAGCCAGUACCCAUGGCUCAUUUUUUGCGGUGACGUUUGCGCCCGCGGUCUUGGAUUUGGCUUCGGGUAUAACCAUGGUGGUGAAAUACCGGUCUUCUUUUAUGACGCUCUUGGCCCAUCUGACACGGAACAUCGGGACCUUCCCUCCAGCGUAGCUCAGCUCCCAGAUCUCCUCGAUCCUUCCGUAGUAUCUGUCCUUGUCGUUACCGGUGUAGGAUUCCAUCGUUACCCCGGAGUUCUGAUAACCAUCGCUCUUCAUGUCCUUUCCCUCGGUGUAGAAUGUGUAGCCGUUGAUAUCGUACGCCUCAUACGUCAUCAGGUUGUGCUCGGCGCCCUGUGACAAGGCGAAUAUGAGUUGUUCUUCCGCGGAAGAAUCCUCAUGUAAAGGGUACGACAGAAGCUUGUGCUUGAACCAACGCGUGAAACAUGAGUUGUGCUCUUUGAUUAUAUCUCCGUCCGUCCUCUGUUGGCCUCGGUCAUUGUACGUCUUCUCAAUAAAGGUUUUAUGCUCUACGACCCAAGGAUCGACCACGUCUAUGUGUUGUAGCGCGACUAGGUUUUCUCUUUCAAAGUCGGCGAGUCGACCCUCGAAGUCGACAUGCAUUUCGCGGCGACCCUCACGGUGACCCCAUCAUGCGAGCCUGCCGAGGUGCCUGUUGACGGGCAGACCAACGGGGUUCUCGAUGCCUAGGUAAUUCUCGAUGCCACUGGCUCGCAUCCUUAGGUUGACUCAGCAUCUUGUCUUUUUUAUUUAUCUCCGGAUCAUUUUCGUCAUCUUCUCGCUUUUUCUCCUCCCUAUCCGCGUGCCAACGCAGGAGCUUUGCUACCUUAGGGUCCGCGAAAUACCGUUGCAGACGAGGAGUGAUCGAAAAGUACCACACCACUUUUUGAGGAGCUUUCUUCCUCUUCUUGUAUCGACUGACGUCGCACACCGGACAUAUGGUAGACUCCGCGUGCUCGUCCCGAUAAAUGAUGCAAUUGUUCAUGCACACAUGAUAUUCCACGUGCGGUAAAUCCAGAGGACACACGAUUUUCUUCGCCUCCUCGAAACUUGUCGGGCACUUGUUCCCCUUGGGAAGACGUUCGUGCCAGAAUGACAUGGUCUUGUCGAAGCAUGCGUCGGUCAUUUUGUGUUUUACCUUCAUCUCCAGAGCCAUGAGCGUUACUUUCAGGCGGGUAUCCUCGGGCCUGCAUCCUUCAUACAAUGGAGUAACCGCGUCUAUCUCCAGUUGAUCCAACUUGCUUUCUCUUGGGCGGCAGCUCUUGCGUUAUCAGUCUGCUUGAGAAGCAGCUCUUGAAUAUGAGGGUCCUGCACCGAGGCCAUCGAUGGUCCAUCGUCGUCUGCUCCGGCAUCUACAUCUUCAUGAUCAUGCCCUUCGUCUGCUCCGGCAUCUUCCUCAUAAUUAUGUCCGGCAUCUUCUACAUGAUGACUGUGUCCUGGAGAUUCUUCGUCUUCUCGCCCGCCCUCGCCGCGGUUGUCUUGCUCAUGCCCUUCCUCAUUUCUUUCCCGGCCCCCAUGGACGACUUCAUAAUCAUCUUCAUCACCUUGCCACCGAUAGCCAUCCAUGAAACGACGCAAGAGCAGGUGGUCCCGCACCUUUACGGAAUUCGGGUCCAUAAGGCUCUUCAGCUUGCAUCUUCGACACGGACAUCUUAUCUCCGUCUCGUUCUUUUGAAGCAUCUCGGCCUUUGCAGAGCUCAAAAACCUAUUCAUGAUGCCUUCGGUCAUCGUCCGGACCAUGGUCGCCUGCGGGGUAGAGCAAAACGAUAUUUUAGAACCAAAAUUUUUUUUGGCAUGACUUUGCCUAAAAAUAGGACAAAAAAGAAUGCAUAGUGCCAAAUUCUCGCCGAAACGGAAAUGAAUCAACAUUCCGGGAAAAUAUUGGCAACUAUCGCAUUUCAAAUACCGGUACCUGCAAACACAAACAUAUAUGCAACACCACAAACAUACGUAGAUCUAGCUAGGCCAUAAAAAGUGCAUGUGCACGUUGUUGGAGGGAGAAAAAAGUAGAUCUACAACAUAAAAGCUUUCCCCUUACUUACCUAUAAAAAAAGGUAAUUUAACCACUUAAUUUGGGUGAAUCUAUGAUGCAAAUGAGGUGAGGAGGAGGAGGCACCUGAGACAAGCUUGGAGGAGGAGGUGGAGAGCAUGAAAGUGGGGAAAGCGAGUGUGGUAGCUGGCUGUCCAAAAUAUCUAGCUGGUCCCAGGUUACUAAUGGCGCACCACCUACAUAUGUGCCAUUAGUAACCCUGGUUACUAAUGGCGCACCUCCUGUGGUGCGCCAUUAGUAGUUCUGCAAAAAAAAAUCAGUAGUGGCGCACCACCAACAGAUGCGCCAUUAGUAACACUGGUUACUUAUGGCGCACUAGCUGUGGUGCGCCAUUAGUAGUUUACAAAAAAAAAACCAAAAAAAAAUUAUAGUAGUGGCGCACUACCAACAGAUGCACCAUUAGUAACCCUGGUUACUAAUGGCGCACCAGCUGCUGGUGCGCCAUUAGUAGUUUUGCAAAAAAAAUAAAAAAAAAUAUAGUAGUGGCGCACCGAGUGUGUGGUGCGCCAUUAGUGUCCAUCACACUAAUGGCACACCUGCACAUGGUGCGCCACUACUAUAUAGUAGUGGCGCACUGCUUGUGUGGUGCGCCAUUAGUAUCUAUAUCAUCUAUAGCCCUUUUCCUAGUGGUGGUGGUAGUGUUCUCAAGUGAGGCUGGAUGAUGGAGGAAGGCAGUCAAAUGCCUCCUUUUAUAGACUCAGAUAACCAGGAAGAUGGCGGGAAAACGAGGAGGGAAAUGAGGCGGGAAAGUUUUGACGGAAAAUAGGAGGGUAAAAAGUUGGCGGGAAAAGAAACGGAGAAAAUUUGGCGGGAAAGGUGGUGCGAAAAAUUUGGCGGGAAUGAAGACGUGGAAAUAUUGGCGGCAACGGAGGAGGAAACGAAAUGGCGGGAAAGAUUGGGGGAAUAUGGGCGGGAAAUGGAGCCGGAAAAAUAGCUAAGGUUGAAAAAAAAUCCCAUGCACUUAUUGGCUUAGCCAAGACCAAUUAGCCGACAGGAACUAAUUGGCCUAGCCAAGGCCGAUUAGUCCCUAUCAUCCACCCACGUUGAUAGGCGUGUCGGCCUAGCCAAGGCCGACUGGGACUAAUUGAUCUUGGCUAGGCCGAUUAGUCCCUAUCGGCCACGUCUAAACUGAGGCACAUAUAUUUUUAAAAAAUUUCACAUUCGAGUAUUAUUUUUCAAAAAGAAUAAAAAAAGUACAAUAUUAAAAAAAAAUAGCCAUUUUUUGGGUAUAUCGUCCAAAGUAUAUCAAUUUUGUUUUAAUCUACAAACAUGUGUAUAUUAAAACAUGAUAUACGGGUAUGAUAUCUUAGGUCCGUGCACGUACAGGAAAAAAUGUGUGUGUACUGGCAUCCAACGUCCGCUCCUAAAACUAAAUAUAAUUAAGUGUGGGUAUAUGUAUGCACGAAAAGAUUUAUGUGUGGGUAUCAGCAUGCAUCAUAUUUUUCUAAAAGUAAAAUAAUAAUUAGGAUGACAUAUUAUAUUAUUUGAUCACUUUAAUUUCUACAGAAAUAUUAUACGUUAAUAUGUGUGACCGGCCCUUAUUUUUCUAAUAAAAAUUCUAGAUACCUAGAAAAGUAAAACUUUGGAAAAAUAGUCAUAAGAACAUCCCAAUUAUACAUCUAAACCAUUUGAACGACAUUUCAUAUUAUUCGGUAGAAUCUGAUACCAUAAAAAAUUAGAAUGUGCAUACAUACCCUCUUCCUUUGGAAACAACUCAUUACUAGGAUACAAAUUAGGUAAAAUGUAAAAUGUGCAUAGAUAAAAUGUUUAGCAUGUAUACAAAAAUGUAUUUAAAAUGUGUAUAAAAGAGUUGUUCAUAUAUUUAAAAAAUGUUAAUCAAGCAUUUGUAAACGACUAUUUGAAUUUUUUUAUCAACCAUUUGAAAAUUGUUAAUUGUGUAUAGAAAAAUAAUGACUAUAUAUUAUACAGAUGAUGAUUUUUUUUAUCAUGUGUAUAAAAUGUUGAUCAAGCUAUGAAAUGUGUUAAAUGUGUAUAGAAAAAUAUUGACUUUGUAUUAUAAAAUGAUACUUUUAUCAUGUAUAUAAACUGUUAAUUAAGUAUUUCAAAAAUAUUGAACAUAUAUUUUAAAAUGUUUAUUAAGCAUUUGAAAAAUAUUAAAUGUGUAUAUAUAGAAUAUUGACCAUGUAUUAAAAAACUGAUGAUUUUUUUGAUCAUGUAUAUAAAAAUGUUAAUCAAGCAUUUGAAAAAAUAUUGUACAAGUAUUUGAAAAAUGUAUGGCAUUUGGAAAAUGUUAAAUGUGUAUAAACAAUGUUGAGCAUAUAUUAAAAAUGAUGAAAUAAUUAUAUCUUGUAUAUAAAAUGUUAAUGAAUUACUUACAAAUUGUUGAACAAGUAAUAUAAUAAUGUUAAUCAAGCAUUUAAUAAAAAUUAAACAUGCAUAGGAAUUAUGUUGACCAUGCAUUCAAAAAAAUAUUAAACUUGUAUUUAAAAAGGCAAGAAAGAAAGAAAGAAGCAAAAUCAAAGAAAAAAAGAAAAUUGUGAACAAAAUAAAAAACACAUAAAACCAAAAAAAUAAAGAAAUCCGAAGAACACAAUGAUAUUUUUUUUAAUGACAACAGAAAAACCGGGAAACACACUGGAAACAUAGCUUGUUUCGCUAAAGUAGGACGCGCCUAACUAUUUAGCACAGAAUGGACACAAGCCGAGUGGCUACAAGCUCUCUGGCUCUGCCUGGAUAUCAACAAAAUCACUAAUUAGGGAGUACUUAUUUGAAAGAUCAUAUCCACCUCUUCAGGUUGCGACAAGUGGCGCACUGAAUGUGGUGUCACUUGUCGUAACAUGAGAGUUUUUCCUUUUUUUUAAAUUCGUAUUUUCAAAACGUUUUAUCUUCUAAAUCGCGCGUCUAAAUCUCAAACCGUUUUCAUCGGUGAAUUUCUCGCGUCGAGAUCUUUAAAAAAUAGAUCCCAUGUUGAUAGGUUUUUGUCGAACCUUUUUUCACAAAAAACCGGACCAAAAAAACUGUGUCUCUUGGGAUAGAAGAAAAAAAACAGAAAACACGGAUUUUUUUCAUGUUAUUUCUUUUUUCGAGAGGCACGACCAUGCCUCUCAUGAGGGAAAAACGUGCCUCUCACGGAAGCAAAAUUAUGCCUCUCGUGAAAAAAAUAUGUUUUUCCCUUUUCGAGAGGGACAGACGUGCCUCUCACAAAAGAAAACUGUGCCUCUCGCGAAAGCAAAACCAUUCCUAUCGUAAAAAAAAUUACACACGCCUUUUCCCUUUUGAGAGGCACGACCGUGACUCUCGCGAAGGCAAAACUGUGCCUCUCGCGGAAGCAAAACCGUGCCUCUCACAGAAGCAAAACCGUGACUCUCGCCAAAAAACAGAAAAUAUGUUUUUUUUUUCAUUUUCGAGAGGCACAACUAUGGCUCUCACGAAGGAAAACUUGUCUCUCGCAAAAAAAACAAUCUUAAAAGCCGAAAACACGCGCGAAAAACUAAAAAACGAAAUUAGGAAGAAGCGUUCAAAAUGCGACUUGAGGCUACGGGAAAGAACGCGCCAAGUGGCAACGCACAGGAGUACUCGCUGGAAGGCUCCCCAAAAAGACCUCGCUAUCUAGUGGCUCCUGGAGAUCAGGGUUCCAUAUGUGGGUGCCCUUUUUUAACUCUCUGCAUGCUAAAUGGGCCGGCCCGAUACUGUUUUCACUCAACAAGAGACAUGGUCGCUUAAUGCAAGAUAUAGUCAUGGCGAUUUUUUUAUUAAGUGCACAGGUCGCCCGCGAACGACUUGGCACGCAACCCCUCGCGGUCUGGUCUUUCGGAAGGGCCGGCCCAUUUGCCGGUUUUUUUUCUUUUUUUCUAUUUUGUUUUCUUAUUUACAGUUCCACAUUUUUGGGAAUUUCCUUUUUCAAAUUUCAAACAUUUUUAUGUUCAUUAAAUUCUAAAAAAUUCAUCAAUGAAAACAAAUGUCUAGCAAUUCAAAAUAUGGUCAUCGGAUUCAAAUUUCUUUCAUCGGAUUUUAAAAAGCUUCUUGAAAAUUCAAAAUUUGUUUAUUGAAUUCAAGAUUUGUUUAUCCAAUGUUAAAAAAAAAAAUACCACGACGGCCUCCCAGGCUGCCCGCCUGAUGCACGGACAUGCUCAGUUGUGCUAGUCGCGUUACUAUUUAGAGCACCACGACGCACAACCACGUGACCGGUAUGGUGCCGCAACAGCUCUCGGGAGAUUGCCAUGGCCGGCUGACCUCUUACUCCUUGACCCUCCUCCACCUUGCCGUAGCUCGAGCUCACGUAUUUUCCUUCCAUGCACACAAGGUAUCUUUACUAUUAAAGGGGAUCUGCCGUCGUCGUGAUGGUUCGACCAGCGAUCCCUUUUAGAAUAGGCACCCACGUCACACCCCCUCCUCCUUCCGAUUUUUUACAUCCCUCCGAAAACCAAAGUUACAUCCCUCCGAAAACCNNNNNNNNNNNNNNNNNNNNNNNNNNNNNNNNNNNNNNNNNNNNNNNNNNNNNNNNNNNNNNNNNNNNNNNNNNNNNNNNNNNNNNNNNNNNNNNNNNNNNNNNNNNNNNCAUCCCUCCGAAAACCGAAGUGGUCCACCGAAAACCAAAGCGACAAUACACCUUCCUAUGCUAUCGACACCUCCUCCCGCUCCCGAUCCUUUCGUUCUCGCGAUAAAAAAAAAUCUGGAAAAUAGAAAAGAAACAACCCCGCACAUUGUCCACUUCCCGCACGAUUCUCAUCCGUCUCCAGAUCUCUCCCCAUCACCAUCCCUCGUCCUCCUUGCGCACGACGCUGUCGUCCACCUCACCUCCUCCUUCGACAGGUCCACCGUCCAGUUCUGGGUCACCGAUGCCGCCGCUNUGUUGUUCGGAGUCCCGGAUGAGAUCACGGACGUCACGAGGGUUUCCGGAAUGGUCCGGAAACGAAGAUUGAUAUAUAGGAUGACUUCAUUUGAUUACCGGAAGGUUUUCGGUGUUACCGGGAAUGUACCGGGAAUGACGAAGGGGUUCCGGGAGUUCACCGGGAGGGGGCAACCCACCCCGGGGAAGCCCAUAGGCCAUAAGGGUGGCGCACCAGCCCUUAGUGGGCUGGUGGGACAGCCCAAAAGGGCCCUAUGCGCCAUAGAGAUAAAAAAUCAAAGAGAAAGAAAAAAAAAAGGGAGGUAGGAAGGAAGCGGGACUCCCUCCCAUCAAACCAAGUCCAACUCGGUUUGGGGGGGGGAGUCCUCCCCCCUUGGACUCGGCCGACCCCCUUGGGGCUCCUUGAGCCCCAAGGCAAGGUCCCCUCCCUCCCACCUAUAUAUACGGAAGUUUUAGGGCUGAUUUGAGACGACUUUUCCACGGCAGCCCGACCACAUACCUCCACGGUUUUUCCUCUAGAUCGCGUUUCUGCGGAGCUCGGGCGAAGCCCUGCUGAGACAAGGUCAUCACCAACCUCCGGAGCGCCGUCACGCUGCCGGAGAACUCUGCUACCUCUCCGUCUCUCUUGCUGGAUCAAGAAGGCCGAGAUCAUCGUCGAGCUGUACGUGUGCUGAACACGGAGGUGCCGUCCGUUCGGCACUAGAUCGUGGGACUGAUUGCGGGAUUGUUCGCGGGGCGGAUCGAGGGACGUGAGGACGUUCCACUACAUCAACCGCGUUCACCAACGCUUCUGCUGUACGAUCUACAAGGGUACGUAGAUCACUCAUCCCCUCUCGUAGAUGGACAUCACCAUGAUAGGUCUUCGUGCGCGUAGGAAAUUUUUUGUUUCCCAUGCGACGUUCCCCAACAUGUUCUUCAGUGAGUUUACUGAUCUAUGGUGAGUAUGGGUAAAAGGUUAUACUGUCUUUGGCUUUAUAGCACUGAAAAUAAAUUCCACAAUGUGUUAUUAUGACAUUCAGGUCAGGGAGAUUGAGAAGUUGCUUGAGACGUUGGCAAAACUACUCAAGGAUCUUCAGGUGAGUAAAUAGCACCAAAUUGGAGUUGUUCAAUUUACCUAACUUCAAAUAUUAGGGUGAAUCAAUCUACACAUGUGAACUAUUUGUUUUGUAAAAUUAAAAUAAUGAAAGAAAUAGGAAACUAUAUAUUGAUCAUUUAAAAAUAAUUGUUGUCAUAUAUACGGGAAAUGAUGCGACAACGAGUACUAGCUCGCCAUCAUGGGAUCUAGGUUGUUUGUUGGGCCAGCUGACUAGAGGCAUCAAGUGAAGAAGAGAGACAUAUCAAGGAUGGAGGUGUGUCUAGCUUCUCCCUCAUCAAAUAUACCUUACUAAGAGAUCUGCUUGAUGGGGCAUGCUGCCAUGGAGAUUUUCUUAGAAUUACUAUGUUAGAUAUCGGAAUUAAAUUAAGUAAGUGACCAUGGGUAGAAUUAGCACUAAGAAUUAGCACUAGACAGAAAAUAGGUGAGCACUACUAAUCAUGAAAAUCAGACAUCGCCGCAUCUGGGAUAACCAUGGCAUGCCGACCAUGCAGGCAUACGAAACAACCAUCGCUGCCGCUUCCUUUAAUCCAUGACGACGAAGAGGCGGCAUCUCCUGCAUGACAAGGCAGAGGUGGCCCUCCUCCGUCGUGGUCGUGCUCGAUCUGGUCAUCCUCCAGGCUGGUGUGUACAUGAUGUCCCCACUCCAUCCCUGCAGGCCGCAGUCUUGGAGAAGAGGGUGAUGCGAUAGUUGUAUUAUUUGGAUCUAUUUGUGGUAGCAUAUUAGCAGCACUGUAGGAUAGACCUGAUUUCUAUUGCAAGUGAAGGUUCUUAGUCACUGGUACCAUUAUCAUUUUGGUUUGAAAUGAAUAACCAAACUGGCAUUAGCAAAGCUGCUAAGCAUAUACUCUGUUCAUAUUUUUACACAAAUGCUAGCAUUAGAUAUGUACUCCCUCUCUAACUAAUAUAAGAGCAUNNNNNNNNNNNNNNNNNNNNNNNNNNNNNNNNNNNNNNNNNNNNNNNNNNNNNNNNNNNNNNNNNNNNNNNNNNNNNNNNNNNNNNNNNNNNNNNNNNNNNNNNNNNNNNNNNNNNNNNNNNNNNNNNNNNNNNNNNNNNNNNNNNNNNNNNNNNNNAUGCUCUUAUAUUAGUCUAAACAUUCUUAUAUUAGUUUACACAGAGAGUACUUUAUACUAAGUUUUUUUCUUUCCCGUUCUGUGUUUAGUAGGAAUGGCUCUCGAGAUGCUCCGCAGAGGACAUCUCCAGCAACUCCACGGUCAUCUCAUGUGGCAAAACCCGGGGGUAUGAAAGUGACUCCGCAGGGAUCACACCAACAAGAACACCUACAGAGAGGAGCCCAAAGGUCAUGGAGCGUCGUUCCGCACGGAGCCCAGUUAGUGAGGUAGAAAUUUACUUGUUUGACGGUCAUUGCGUUACUGAUUGCCCUCAUUGGCUUUAAAUUUGCAACUUUCACUCCUUUCAGAUAGCUGCCCCUGUCAAUGGUCCAUUAUAUUUACAUUGUGGCUGAUUUGUGUUCUUAUGUCGAUCAUGCGACGUUGUGCAAAUGAGGUUUAAUGUUGUAUUUUUUAAUAGGAGUUGUCAUGACAAAUGAAGAUGAUAUGUGUCACAAGUGUAGACUUGAAGUUUGCCAUCAUGUUCUAACUUCUAUGCCCGGUGGCUGUGGAGGAACAAGUGUGUCGUGACAGGGUGGUGUUGGCAAUUGAGGUAUGAACCUAGAAAUUAAUCUUGGAGAUUGAUUGCCUCAUAAUGCUAGAUUGUGCUUGGAGGGUUGAAAUCGUGGUGGUUGCUGAAAAGGAAUUAUAAAAGAAAACGACAUGCAUGUGACGUUUGACACGUUUCUAAAAUAGUAUCCUUUCUUUAUGCGCAUGUAGCAUGAUAACAAUUAUGAACUACCAGGUGACUACCCCAUUCAAUUUGGCCUAGGACCUCUAGAUAUGGUCAUCAAUUGGUCAGUAGAAUUUUUUAGUAUUUGUUUUAAAAAAAUUAGUCAGCACGGGUGUAGAUGAGCCUGGCCUCAGAAAUGAUUUUUUGCCACUUAUACCUUUUUACACUUGCAUCGGUAGCAUGGCGACCGCGCGCGACGCCGAGGAGGUCGUCCAAAAGCUUGCCUCCGACUGCGCCAGGCCCCACGAUGUGAGUACCCUGCUCCCUUCUCCUCUGCUCUGCCCCCAAAUCUGCUUCGACGAUGACCUCUCUGCCGUGCCCUGCUGCUGCUGCAGGAAGGGGUUAAGCUGCUGGGGACGUGGCUGCAGGGCGACCGCGCCCUCACCUUCUGCCGCCUCCUCGCCCGCAACACCGUCAGGGCCACGCCAGCCCAACUCGGCUCCGGUACACCCACCUCCCACCUCUCUGCUUGCUUCUUCCAUUUCCAUCUCCCCUCUCCUGGAUUCUGUCUGAUUGACGAUUCUAAGUUGUUGGUUUCGUAGGGGCCACCUGGCCGUUCCGCAUCACCGCCCUCGCCAAGUGCGUCCUCGUCGACAUCGUCGCCAAGAGGCGCGGGGCCACCAGGAGCGCCGCUGCUGCCGGGAUGCUCCGCGCCGCCGUCCGCUGUGCAGAGGACGCCAGGCUCUCAGGUAGAAACGCCCUUCUUCUCCGUCCUAUCCUGCUACUUACAUUCAAGUUUGGUAUCCAGGCUCUGAAGAAGAAAUGGUAAGGAAAGGAAGCGCACAUUGUUAGUGCCUAUUGUUUCUUCACCAUACACACAUAUCAGCUUACUACUGGAGUCAUGUCAAAUGCGCUAUAGUUGUUGUUGCCAUCCCUUCUUACUCAUGCAUUUUGUGUUGGACAUGUACCAGUAACUCACUCUCCUGUUAGCCAUACAACAUUGGGUGUUGCAUCUUCUGUUUGUGGUUUUAGCACUCUGUUUUUCAUCUAGCUGAUGAAUUGUGCAGGUUUUAAGCACUUGCUAUUGCUACCAUUAUGCUUCAUUGUUUUAUCUACUACAGUAGACUAGACUAGACUUCUGUGCAAGCGCUUCUUCAAUUGUUUCUUUAUGUAAUAUAUGCUCGAGUGUAAGGUGCAUGCCAUUAAAGAUGGUUCACUGUUGUUGCAGGGCACUCCUUACUUUUGAUUUCAGUUGCUAAGCAGCUUUUUAGUCAUAUAUUGGAGGUCAUAAAGGAUGCUCCCAGCUUUCAGCUAGAGUACCGCUAUGUGAUAUGAGGUUAUGUUAGAUCACCUUUUGAUGUUUUUAGUGUCCAAGCUUCCAUUCAUUUGGAAACUUACAUAGAACAACCAAGGAUUUUUAUUAUGCAGCUGCAGGGCUACCGACUAAAAAUUGAAUCCAGAUUUUCAUUUAUUCCUGUUUGCACGUGUUGACUUUAGGAUAUCUCAUGAACGAGUGAUAGUAGGUAAAAUUAACUUACUUUACUCUCUGCAUUGGUGUGUUCCAGAUACCAGCACUGUCUAAAGAUGUUGCUGCUAAUAUCUUUGAAUGCAACACAUUUUGUCCUGUACUCAGUGUAACCAUCCAUCCUAAUUGAUAUGUUAAGGCCGGAUGGUUCAUCAACACUUCCUAUUCUUAGUGGUGAUCCAUCAACAGCAGACCUGGCCUAGACAUGGAGUGUGAGAGGUAUGAAUUUUCAGCUUGUUAAUCACGAUCAAGUGGAAUACAACAUAAAUAUUCUUUGCAUGACGAGUCAGAACUGAUCGCCACGUCCACUUAAUACAUUUUAUCCAUGUUCAGUUCCUUAGAUUGCUUAUCCUGUAUUAUUCGACUGGUAAAAUUGCAUUGCUAAUCGCUUCAAAGGACAAGUGAAUAUGUAGGUUGUAUCCCUCUUAGUUUGUAAACAAUCCGUUCACCGACUCGCUACUCCAUCUAAUAAGACACAUAGAUAAAGGUCAAGAAUUUGUCAUCUGUAGUUAUCCCUUCUUAAUUAUGAUAAACUUGCUUUCUUCUCUCAGCAUUUUAGAAAUAUCAUUUUAUUCAGUUGAUUUCUCAUCCUGUUACCCCAUGUACGUAUAGGUUCUGAAAGAUCGUUCACUGUCCCAUGUCUUCCGCCCGUCGAGAAAGAGGGAGAGCUAGGAGAGAGGGAGGAGCGCAACGGCGCUGCUGGAACUAAUCGCCCACAGAGAAAGAUGUGGCGGCGAGGCAGUCGCUGGCGGCGGUGCCUCCGGUGACCAGUGAGCGGGCAAGGCGGCGAGCUCCUGUUGAGGCGGCGGGGCUUGGUGCGUGCUGGUUCCUCGGGAUCGAG
rnacentral:lncRNA from 1 species